rnacentral:rRNA from 1 species
UACGAAGGGGGCAAGCGUUGUUCGGAAUUACUGGGCGUAAAGGGCGCGUAGGCGGUGCACUAAGUCAGGCGUGAAAGCCCUGGGCUCAACCCGGGAAUUGCGCUUGAUACUGGUGCGCUUGAAUCCAGGAGAGGUUGGUGGAAUUCCCAGUGUAGAGGUGAAAUUCGUAGAGAUUGGGAAGAACACCGGUGGCGAAGGCGGCCAACUGGACUGGUAGUGACGCUGAGGCGCGAAAGCGUGGGGAGCAAACAGG